rnacentral:rRNA from 1 species
GAUGAACGCUGGCGGCGUGCCUAAUACAUGCAAGUAGAACGCUGAAGGAAGGAGCUUGCUCUUUCCGGAUGAGUUGCGAACGGGUGAGUAACGCGUAGGUAACCUGCCUGGUAGCGGGGGAUAACUAUUGGAAACGAUAGCUAAUACCGCAUAACAGUAGAUGUUGCAUGAUAUCUACUUAAAAGGUGCAAUUGCACCACUACCAGAUGGACCUGCGUUGUAUUAGCUAGUUGGUGAGGUAACGGCUCACCAAGGCGACGAUACAUAGCCGACCUGAGAGGGUGGUCGGCCACACUGGGACUGAGACACGGCCCAGACUCCUACGGGAGGCAGCAGUAGGGAAUCUUCGGCAAUGGACGGAAGUCUGACCGAGCAAAGCCGCGUGAGGGAAGAAGGUUUUCGGAUCGUAAAGCUCUGUUGUAAGAGAAGAACGAGUGUGAGAAUGGAAAGUUCACACUGUGACGGUAUCUUACCAGAAAGGGACGGCUAACUACGUG